GAUGAACGCUGGCGGCGUGCUUAACACAUGCGAGUCGAACGGAAAGGCCCUGCUUUUGUGGGGUGCUCGAGUGGCGAACGGGUGAGUAACACGUGAGUAACCUGCCCUUGACUUUGGGAUAACUUCAGGAAACUGGGGCUAAUACCGGAUAGGAGCUCCUGCUGCAUGGUGGGGGUUGGAAAGUUUCGGCGGUUGGGGAUGGACUCGCGGCUUAUCAGCUUGUUGGUGGGGUAGUGGCUUACCAAGGCUUUGACGGGUAGCCGGCCUGAGAGGGUGACCGGCCACAUUGGGACUGAGAUACGGCCCAGACUCCUACGGGAGGCAGCAGUGGGGAAUAUUGCACAAUGGGCGGAAGCCUGAUGCAGCAACGCCGCGUGCGGGAUGACGGCCUUCGGGUUGUAAACCGCUUUCGCCUGUGACGAAGCGUGAGUGACGGUAAUGGGUAAAGAAGCACCGGCUAACUACGUG
rnacentral:rRNA from 1 species